UUACCAUGUCUGGGGUGCCUUUGGCUGAGAUGAUACCCAUUAACCUGAUCUGGUUAGUACCAGCGUAGGGAGUUACAUUCGGUAGAUC
rnacentral:ncRNA from 2 species